GUGUCUUAGAACAUUGUCACCGCACACACCACUGCUACUGAACCAUCAGCUCAGUUGUGUUGAAGAUGGGCCAUCUCACUCUUGUGGCUUUUCUCACAGUGCUGUUCGGCCUUUUUGUGGAAGCCGAAGCAAAUUCAUUUGUUUACAACUAUGAAAGCCUACGGAUUGGAGGACUGGUCUUUGCCAUCUUGUUGAUCAGUGCAGGAAUCGGUUUUUUGCUUUAUGGCAAAUGCAAGAAGAGAGGAAAACAUACUGACAACAGCAGUGAAAUCUGAUCUGAUGCUUGACAAACUGGUUUUGGCCUUGAAAGAAGAGCUGGCAGGAGAUGGGGCGGAGAGAUUGACUGCCUCCUGAGAGCAGGGGGGUUCAGAGGAGGCUCACCUGCUCAGAUACCUGUGUGAAGACACAUCCUUUUUUUUUUUUAAUCAAGUACUGCUCAAAUUUGACAUCACUUCCUUCCAGUCUGCUAGAAGGAGAUGCAAAGAGAAAAAGUAAAUGUCCACUUCUGUGCUGAUACGUUGAUGUUUAUUUUUGUAAAUACACACUCAUCCAUGCAUCAUAUCCAGUCUGCCAUAUGGUGCUUCUUUAGUUCUUAAUAUUGUGUAAAGCUGAUUAAGUAAUACACAGUUAGCAUUUUAGCAUUACUACCUGCUGUUUUGAUCAGUUGUCCAUACUGAUGCUGUCAAACUCUAAACUAUUGGAAUAAUCAUGAAAAGUGUAUUCUGUCAAAUAUCCUGAGUCAAUUCGAAAUUAAAGUCAAAAUAAAUGUUGGUGUCACUAA